UUCUGUGAGGCUAGGAUUGGUUGCUGUGGGCGGAAUGUGUGGUGUAGCGGUGAAAUGCUUAGAGAUCACACAGAAUAUCGAUGGCGAAGGCAGCUCACAAAGCCAAGAUUGACGCUGAGGCACGAAAGUGUGGGGAUCAAACAGGAUUAGAUACCCUGGUAGUCCACACUGUAAACGAUGAUAACUCGCUGUCGGCGAUAGACCGUCGGUGGCCAAGCGAAAGCGAUAAGUUAUCCACCUGGGGAGUACGACCGCAAGGUUGAAACUCAAAGGAAUUGACGGGGGCCCGCACAAGCGGAGGAACAUGUGGUUUAAUUCGAUGAUACGCGAGGAACCUUACCCGGGCUCGAACGGUGCAUGAAUGUUCAAGAGAUUGGACAGUCCUUCGGGACAUGUAUCGAGGUGCUGCAUGGUUGUCGUCAGCUCGUGCCGUGAGGUGUCGGCUUAAGUGCCAUAACGAGCGCAACCCUUGUCAUUAGUUACCAUCAGGUCAAGCUGGGGACUCUAGUGAGACUGCCACCGUAAGGUGUGAGGAAGGGGGGGAUGACGUCAAAUCAGCACGGCCCUUAUGUCCGGGGCGACACACGUGUUACAAUGGGAGGUACAGAGAGCAGCCAGUUAGUGAUAACGCGCCAAUCUCAAAAACCUUUCUCAGUUCGGAUUGGAGUCUGCAACUCGACUCCAUGAAGUUGGAUUCGCUAGUAAUCGCGCAUCAG
rnacentral:rRNA from 1 species